AACAUAACAGAAACGGUCAAAGACUCUCACUUAACUAUCUUCCAACCGCCUUGCCUCCCUCUCCGCCCCCCUCUCCUUGUACGUCUCUUUACAUUUCUCCUCCAGCUGUGCCCUCAUCCAUGUUACCACGUUGGACAGUUUGCAGCUAGCAGCACAAGAGGCAGUGGGGGGUGGUGGAGGAUUUGUGCCAUGGAGACAGUCGUGGUGGGGACUCGACAGACGAGGACGAGGCACAUCCUGGACUGGUCGCCGGUCCAUCGCAGGAAAGACAUCCCCGUCGUAUUUAUACACCCACGGACAAAUUAUACCCUAACUCGCAUGAGGAAGUCGUAAGACGAACCCACACAGGCACGUUUAGAACAUGCACACUCCCUCCAGUGCAGCGCUAUGCACAUUUGAACUGAGGACCUCCAUUCUGUGAGGCAAACCACCGUUCCACCCUGCCAAGUAGGGUUUGGAUCAUGUUGAAACGAUACCCCCCACAUGGUUGAACCCAAGCUAGAAGCUCCUGGUAAAAGAACGUGAGGAUGUAGCAAAAUGAACCGAGAAAGCUAAAAACACAAACUUCCACGCGGCUGGUUGGACGUGUGGGAAGAAGGUAUGAGAUGACAGGAAAGGCCCGAUGACUCAGACAGGAAGUUUCAAGCACCUGAGAAGAUGACAGCUUGACCCCCUGAGUCCGCCUUCACACAGCUGGCCCUCUAAGAGGGUCCGGGGGGGUCCGGCUGAAGGUCCACUAAGCCCCUCACAGUCCAUAUGGCCAGGGGGGCUUACGCACCCCGCGAUGACACGAGAAGGCGAGCCCAGAGGCUGGAAACGCGGCGCGGAGACAUUCAGAGAUGUGCGCUCAUGUGCGACACACUCUAGGAAAGGCCUCAUUUGUGUGAGCCCACGCACAUGUUUGGAUAACCACUUGUCUGGCUGCAAGGCGAGAGCGGGGGAAACUAACUCUACAGGAUGUGUGGCAUGGUGGAAUGUGUGCGUGUGUGUGUGUGUGUGUCAGGGUAAAUAAAGGAAGAGCAAUAAUGACUGUGAGUCAUAUGAUCCGGCUGCACGGUCAUACUAAUGGCAUUAGCCCCAUCGAGAGACCUGCAGGACUCCUCCUGUCCUUCUUGUCGCUGUGUUUCCUCCUCUCCUCUUCUCAGUUUCCUUCUCCUCGGUCCAACACGUCUUCCUCUCCGUCACUCAGCUUGUUUAUUGAUCUGUUUUAGAUUGUUCUAGACACACUGCCGCUGCAACUAUUAGGACUACCCACCUUUUUAAUUAGAUGGAAUCUCAUUACAGACCCAGAGAUACACUAACGCGAUAUCAAUCAUUUUUAUAGCGAUCAACUUGAUGUUCCAAAUUGAAAGAGGAUCAAGUGAAUAUUCUAAGAUACUGAACGUGUGAAGAGCCUGUUGUAAUUAUCCUAAGAAUACAGAUGGGUUUGUUGUUUUUUAAUGUCAGUCAGAUGUUUUGUUACAUGUGGAAAACAGAUUUGAAGUCAUAUGGAUAAUUAAUCAGCUGAAACUAGUGCUGAACACACAUCAAAGGAAUGGUUUCAUUUUGGGAUAUAUGUGUUUUUGGGCUUUUCCUGCUGAAAGAGUUCGGGUUGAAAAUAAAUGAUACCACAUGUGAUCGGUAAAUGUGAAGCUGAUGCGAGCACCCUGCUAGCUUAGCAUGAAAAGCUACCCUGGCUCUGUCCAAAGGCUAACAGAUGUCAAC
ensembl:lncRNA